UUACAGUCGACCCAUCUUCCCUUUUUCUCUUCUUUUCUUAUUUUUUUCUUCUUUCUUCUUUCUUUUUUCAUCCUCUCAUCCUCAUUUUCAUGGCAGACCCUACGCUACCACAUCCAUCUCCCGUGUUGUUACCAUCCAUGAGUCCCACACCCACCAUGCCACCAUCUUUCUAUUAACCAAUGGUUGUUGUUCCCAUGUUCGCUACAACUCAAACAUGCUUCCUGAUGUUUCGCCACAGUCUCGACGUUGUUGUUGUUGUUUCGCCAUAGCCCCGACGCGAUUCUUGAUGUUCCAUCACCAUCAUAGCCACCAUUGUUGCAGCCCACAACCUUGGUACCUCCUGCACUACCCAUUGACUUUUGUUGGAUCACCAUCAACACCACUAUCUCCGUGGUUGCCACUUCAUUCUUCAUCUUAGGGCUUCAAGAGACGUAGGUAAGUUUCCUUGGAUCUCUACAGUACUUGUUGUGGUAGUUUUAAUUUAAUUUUUAUAUGGACUUAGGUCUCAUUUGCUUUAUGAUUGGGCUUCAAAUUAUUUGGUACAUGGGCUUGAUGUUAUAAUAUUUUAUUACUUGGGCCUUGUGUUUCAUUUGGUUGAGCCAAGUAUCAGGCACACAUAAGCAGGUUGGUUCUUUGAGAACCAUUGAGUUUUGUUGAACCUUAGGAUUGUUGAGGUCGUGUUUCACCAUUGAUUGGGCUUCAAGCAAGAGAUAAGUAUGGAUGAAUUGGGAUUUUAUUAGUUCCGGGGGGAAGAAAAGAAACUGGGAAGCCAAGUGAGCUUCGCUUGAAAGGAGUUUCUCAGGUAUGGCUAUUGUGGAUUCUUUGUUAUUCUUCAUUAUCAUAUGAUUCUUCCUCUUUUCUUGCUAUUUUUUGUGGAUUGCUUGGUUGGGUGUGAAUAUUAGGUUGUACGUUUGGAUUUUUGAGUUGUUCAUGGGUUUGUUGUUGUUGAUUUACCUUUGUUUAUUUGGUUUUGGUUUGGAAGUAAUCUGAAUCUGCUUUGACUUUACAUUGUGCCUCGGGAGGUCAAUAUUUCUAUUCUUUUUUCUUUUUUUUUUAAAUAUGGUCUUGGUUUUUGUCCUUACCAUUUAUAUGCACAUGGAUAACUCAUGAAAUUGUGUGUGGUUUUGAGGACUUGUUUGUUUGCUGGUUUGUUUUUGUUAACACAUGGAUACCCUUGAUUCUCUUGCUGUUUCCUGGGGGUUUGUUUGGAUUGAUUUGGGGUNNNNNNNNNNNNNNNNNNNNNNNNNNNNNNNNNNNNNNNNNNNNNNNNNNNNNNNNNNNNNNNNNNNNNNNNNNNNNNNNNNNNNNNNNNNNNNNNNNNNAAUUAAAAUCUUUUUACAGUUUAUACUUUAAACAAACAUUAAAUAAGCAUGUAAAUAAAUAAACGAAAUUACAGAACUUACUUUAAUUCUGUGAAUCCGAGCCCAGUGACAACACUGUUUCCUUAAGACAAUUUUAUUCCCUCUCUGGUGCUCAAAGGUAGUGAAUAAAUGUCUCCCAAGAUAGAACGGAUUUCCAGUUCCACAGAAGCAGCACUUCAAUCUGUAGAACACCACGAACACAACUUGUGUUUUGCACUCGAACUGAAUCGACAAACCGACAAAGGAUGGAUGCAAAGAAGAGAAAAAAUAAAAUACAGGAGAUGUGUGUUUAUGCCGGGGUAGAAAGUCUAUUUUUAUAGGCUUCAGGCUUCCUGGUGUCUGUUUAGAACAGUCGCGUCCAAACAGCCUAUACAAUGAAUCUUAAUUAUGAAAAGCCAGUUACAAAACGGGUUGGGUUUAACCCAGAAACUUGAAUGAUUUUUGCCCCAAAAGAUUAAAUAUACAGUAAGCCCAAGCCCAGGUCCUGGUCGGGGCGCGCGCGCGCGCGCGUUUAACCCACAAGCCUACACCCAUGUAGGUCCUCCCCCCUUUACAAACUUGGGGUGCCCCUUGGGGCCCUUCCCAUAGUGAAAAAAAUCGAUAUAUAAACUCUUCACAUUCUCCUCACACUUUCUAUGUGGGACAAAGUGUUUAUGGUAAGUUUAUACCAAGUUUCCUCAAAUAUACCAUUUGAAGUGGGUGACUUUGGAGUCAAUUUUCUCAUUCAAUACUUAAUGGAUUUGAACAAAUAAAUAUACCACGUUACACUCCUCGCGGAGGAGAACGCGUUGGUGCGUGGUCCCGACAUUUUCGGAGUGUGGGUCACACUUUUAAUUAAGCCCCAAGUUGCUCAAUUAUUACUGUUGUCUUUGAGUUUAUGGGUUGCAUUCUUGAGAGGUGCCUAUAGUUGCGUGAUCUUUGUGCAAGCUUCCUAUUGCCUAGUGUGCUUGUGUUUUUUGGAGUGCUUAGCUUGUCAUCCAGAUAUUGCAAUUGGGAAUGAAGUGGAGGAGAAAUAAGUUGCUGCUAGAACAUUCUUAUGGAACCCUCGUAUUUCAUUCUUGAACAAGCUCCUGUCAAGUGGGUUCAUGUCCAAUAAUGAGUAUCAGGAUGAAGUUUGUUUCUUCAAUAUGACAGCUGAACUUUCUAGGAUCUGGUUUUCUAUCUUAGAAUUCCCUUCUGUGGAUGAUUAUAAUUGGGAGCAAGGAGUGGUCCUAAUGGGCCUGACCGAAAACACUGUUGGUAGUUGUUUAUUGUAGCUGGUAAAUAAUAACAUUAAUGAUUGUGGCUGGUAGAUCAAAUGCCUGAGAAUAUAUUGAUAAGUCUGAUUUCUGGAUGGUAUCCUCUCCGGUGCCUGCUUUGAACCCUGUAUCAUCCAGUGUAGACCAGCCAACAAGCCUUGUGAAUUCACCAACUACCAAGUUAUGUCGUUUUGGGACAAAAGUCCUCCUAUGAUGAUGAUGAUCUUCUAUAUGAAGACUUUAGUAUGACUCCCACAGCAAUAAUUCAAUUUCUUCAAGAGUUGAGCAUUCUCGUAUUAGUCCCUAGAAGGCACCUUCCUGGUUUGAUCAGUAUGGAACCUUUAAAAAUGGGCAGAUUUUAUUGUUGGUAAGUCUUCUGAUAGUUUGCACACACAGAAUUCAAUGGAUUGACUAAAUGGUGUUUUUGGUACCAGUCAUGUCGUUAAUAUCCAUCAUAGUUCUUCCCUCCAUUUCAAUGGCAAGCGAUUAUGAGGCUUCAUCUUGGAGGAUAUGUGAGUUUGAAUAUCCAUUGUGUUUUACAUUGAAUCUAAAAUCACAAAGUCAAUUCAAAUUAAAUUGAUGAUAUUAAAGGUCAAUAGGUGUAUUCAUUUUAUCUUUGUGAUAUUGAAGGUUAGUAUAUUUAUUGUCCUAUGAAAAAAAAAUCUUUUAAUUUUUUUGUAUUUGUUACUUACUUUUCUAUUAAUUCUGUGUUUAUUCUACUAGGUAUCUAAGAAAUACAUCAAGAAGAAGACAAUGAUCGAUGCAGAAACGAAGAUCACCUCUUAUGAAGAUAAUGUUGUACUUUUCAAUUUAAGUUUAUAUAUUAUUUUAAUUGAAUGUUUUUAGCUAGGUUUUGUUUGUAUAUAAAAAAUAGAGAGUAACUUGAAAAAGAUUUAUGGAAUUGUGUUCUUAAUAUUUAAUGUAUACGUAAUAUUUUUUUCCUUAAAUAGUAAUUUAUUUAAAUUAUUUUAAGGACUUGAUUGUAAUUAUCAUAAUUAAAAAUAUACCAAAUUUAAUUUCGAGAUAGGUUUCAUAUGGUAUAUAACAUGUUCAUUUUCCAUUAAAAACUAAAAAUUAUAAUAAAAUAAUAUUAAAUUUUUCAUAAGUUAUAUUGACAUAUGGCUCAUGCCCAAUGUUGACAUGUGCAAUAGCAACUAUGACAUAUGUGAUACCAAACAUUGACAUAUAUAAAGCAAUUAUGACAUAUAUAAAAUCUAACCUUGACAUAUAUAUUUAGAAAUCCUGACAUAAGUGGGAUUAAUCAUGACAUAUAUGACGUUUGACCUUGACACUUGUUGGAGUAACCUUAAUAGAAGAGUAAGUUAACCUUGACAUAAGAUCAAAAAAUCUUGUCAUAUGUUAAAUUCAACAUUGAUAGAAGUAAACAAAACAUUGAUAGAUAUCAUACUAUUAAGAUUUCAUCAUUAGUGGAAAUAGAGAAAUCUUGACAUAUGGAUAUGUCAAGGUAUCUUUAGACUUUUCUUAACACUGGCAUAAAUAACAUAUACGAAUAGUAACCUAUCUUGACAUAUAUACCUUAUCUUAAUGGUGAAAAACCGUCAACAAGGGCCUUUUUUCUUGUAGUGUUGGUAUCUUACUAAUUUCUAUUUAAUACAUUAUUUUGUUACUUUGUAUUUUGAUCGCAUUGUUGUUGAUGGCGGGAGAUACCAGAGUCACUGUAAUUUUCUGAAGUACUCGCUUCCUCAAUUGAGAAUGAUGCUUCCUUCCUUUGCCCUGUAAAAGAUGUCCGGACAGAGAGUCUGGACACACCCUCCGAAGCCUUUGUUAGUUUGGUUAUCCAGCAUAUUGAUAUUCUUAGGCCCUUUUUUUAGGAAUGCUUACCUCCCUUUUGACUGGGUCGUUUGGGGCCUUUUAUAGUGCCUGAAACCUCGUCACUUUGAAGGUGGGAAGACUCUUUGACUUUUGCGAUCAUGAUGGUACUUAGAGGGUGGCAGAACCAUCAUUAUCCUACAGGCGGCUGACAGAGAUUGUUGGGGGGAUGAUUUGUCGUCACCCUUGUCUAUUUACUCUGUAGGCGGUGUAGGGUAAGUUGUGGCAAGUCGCUUGAAAAGACUUAGGAAUACCAUGUCGAGUAUGCUUUUGGCGAAAUGAGUAAUGAUUGCCUACGAAAUACGGUCAAGAAUCCUGUUUGGGACGACACCUACUAAGUCAAGACGGGGGGUGGGCGUGCCACGUGUCAGUCCAUGUGAUCGUCCAAACAGAGGGUGGGACAUGCCACGUGUCCACCGAAUGAGUGCCUUGUGAGGCCACGGUGUCCUGCCAUGUGUACGCUUAGGGGUGGUCCCUACAAUUGUAGUCUUAUCUUUAAUAUGUUUGUACAUUAAUUUUAUUUCCUUAUAUAAAAUAUAAAUACAAAUAAAUGAUACAAAGAUUGUAAUGAUCACAUUGUAAAUAAUACAAAAACACAAAUGUAUUAAAUUAUGAUUCAAAAUUUAUUUAAACUCUAAUUUUACUGCCUUGUACUUUUAUUUAACAUUUCAAAUUUUAUUAUAUGGAAAAUUCACAUUGAAAAUUUUGCAUAGUCUGAAAUCAUAUUGAAAAACCUUUGUCCA
rnacentral:lncRNA from 1 species